rnacentral:rRNA from 1 species
UACGUAGGGUGCAAGCGUUGUCCGGAUUUAUUGGGCGUAAAGAGCUCGUAGGCGGUUUGUCGCGUCGUCUGUGAAAACCCACGGCUCAACUGUGGGCUUGCAGGCGAUACGGGCAGGCUAGAGUUCGGUAGGGGAGACUGGAAUUCCUGGUGUAGCGGUGAAAUGCGCAGAUAUCAGGAGGAACACCGGUGGCGAAGGCGGGUCUCUGGGCCGAUACUGACGCUGAGGAGCGAAAGCGUGGGGAGCGAACAGG